ACACGCAUGACACACUGCAUAUCAAUAAGCGGAGGAAAAGAAACUAACAAGGAUUCCCUUAGUAACGGCGAGUGAAGCGGGAAGAGCUCAAAUUUGAAAUCUUCAAGGUUCUACCUUGACGAAUUGUAGUUUAUAGAAGUGUUUUCUGUUAGUAGGAGUGGCAAAAGUUCUUUGGAAUAGGACAUCAUAGAGGGUGAGAAUCCCGUAUUUGGUCAUUCCUUCCUAGCGUUGUGAUACACUUUCAACGAGUCGGAUUGUUUGGGAAUGCAGUCCAAAAUGGGUGGUAAAUUUCAUCUAAAGCUAAAUAUUGGCGAGAGACCGAUAGCGAACAAGUACCGUGAGGGAAAGAUGAAAAGAACUUUGAAAAGAGAGUUAAACAGUACGUGAAAUUGUCAAAAGGGAAGCGUUUGACACCAGUGUUGUUUAGUUCCGAAAAUCAAUUCACUAAUGUUUUGAUUUUAAGUAGUAUUGACUUCAUCAGCUUGCUGCUUUCUUUAUGAAACUUUCUUAAUGCACUUUUCGGUUAACAAGUCAACAUCAAUUUCUUUUGUUGUAAAAGGGUAUGAGGAAGGUGGCUUUCUUUUCGGAGAAAGUGUUUAUAGCCUUGUACCUCUGCAAUCGGAGAGAUUGAGGUCUGCAGCGUAGAUCCUUCGGGGUUAGAUACAUUUGUGCUAAGUUAUAGCUUUUCAUAGACAACUUGUUGACUAUGUUAAGUCUUGUAAUUUACUCGCAGAUGCUAUUUUACCUACGCUUAGGAUGUUGAAGACUCUACAGAGAUA
rnacentral:rRNA from 1 species